rnacentral:misc_RNA from 1 species
GAUGAAGAACGCAGCGAAAUGCGAUAAGUAGUGUGAAUUGCAGAAUUCAGUGAAUCAUCGAAUCUUUGAACGCACAUUGCGCCUUCUAGUAUUCUGGGAGGCAUGCCUGUUUGAGCGUCAUUAAACCUCUCUCAAGUAUGAUUACUUGGAUGUGAAGGAAGAGUACCUUAAACUUAAGGAGUGUUCUCCUUUGAAAUUGAUUAGCAGAUGGUAAUGUUAUUAAAUCCCUGAUGUUGUAAGAAAUAACAGUGGUUUUGUAGACUAUUAUCUAGCUUUAAAUGAUAAUUUUUAUUAUGGUUGACCUCAAAUCAGGUAAGGAUACCCGCUGAACUUAAGCAUAUCAAUAAGCGGAGGA